UACGUAGGGGGCAAGCGUUGUCCGGAAUCAUUGGGCGUAAAGAGCGUGUAGGCGGUUCGGUAAGUCGGCUGUGAAAGUCCAGGGCUCAACCCUGGGAUGCCGGUGGAUACUGCUGGACUAGAGUGCGGAAGAGGCGAGUGGAAUUCCCGGUGUAGGCGGUGAAAUGCGCAGAUAUCGGGAGGAACACCAAUUGCGAAGGCAGCUCGCUGGGACGUUACUGACGCUGGAGACGCGAAAGCGUGGGGAGCAAACAGG
rnacentral:rRNA from 1 species